CUAAAAAUCAAAGGCUUUCCAGGCAGAGACAACAGCAAAUCCGAAGGCCAAGGUGAGGCGGAGCUGUUGGAAGGACAUGAUUAGAGAGUAGGGAGCAGGGAGACCUCUGUGAGAUAAGGCCAGAGAUAUCAGAGUGAGGACCCAGGUCAUGGAGAACCUUGGAGGCCAUAGAGAAGAGUUUAGAUUCUAUUCUAAGCACAAUAAGAAAUCAUUUUAAAGAUUGCUGAGGAGAUUGGGCUAAUGGAGAUUUCAAGUGGAAGCUGGUAGACUGGUUAUGAGGCUUCUCCAUUAAUUCAGGUUAGAGAUGAAGCAACACUGAAGAUGGUCUGAAGUCAGGGAUGAAGAAGAAUGAUUGGACUUGGUGUUGGGUGAAGAAAAUGGAUGACUCAGGGAUGACACUCGGAUUCCUGGCUCUGAUAACCAGGUUCCCUGCACAGACUGCUAGGCCCACCUUCCACACUGCCCUUCUGGCCUCACACUCAUGCCUUAACCCCAAGGACAGGUUGACAAAGGAACCUCAUCGGCAAACAUCUCUGUGGGAGAGGGGAUGACCCAAAAUGACCAGGGAGACUUCAGCUCACACCGGAAGCUCUGGCUGGGGAAUUGGAGACCAUCAGUUCUGGCGAAACCCUCCUCACCAGUGCAAUGUCCAGGCGCCUAUUUUCUUCAUGGGAUUUAAUAAUGUCACUGGGGUCUUUAAACAGUGUGUUUGCCACAGUCAGUGGAACACAUAUCUAUUAUAAAAAAUAAAAAUCACAGAAGCAGAUAAAGUAAAAAGUGAAAGUUUUCAUUCACCUUCCCUUACCCCCAUCCUGGACUUCAAUAUAGACACUGCUGACAUUGGAAAUGAGUCCUUUCAGGCCUUUUCCUCUGCAGUAUGAGUAAAGAUCAUUUAGGCCUUGAGUGCUGAGUCACUGUAUCCACAGAUGUGGAAUUUAGAAGCUUAGACCACCAGAAUAUGCCAUUGCGUUAUCAAUCCCAAGGCCUCUCGAUGUUGGAGGCUCAGUUCUUUUCCUUUUUGCACUUCUCUAUCCUAUUUAGAAAUGUAAAGUCGUAAUGAAUAUGUCUAAAGAGAAUCUUUGCUCACCCGGAAUUGCAUACACAUCAAAAUUCAUAGUAUUUAAUGCUUCCCAUUCCUCUUCCACCAUCCCAUCUGGGUCUGCGGAGCCCUCGGUUGAAAUGAACACUUAGCUAGACUUGUUCAAGGAAGCCUCCAAGCUUCUAGUUUCAGCCUGCCUUAUAUGUGACAUGUGUACUUCUGGGUGCCUAGAAAACAAUCCUAACUUAUGUAUGUUAUUAAAAGGCAGCAAUCUUUCCCACGCUCCAAAUCCCUAAAACUUCUUGUGCAAUAACUGUGUUGAGAACUUCCUGGUUUGGUUGCUUCAGGGUGGAAGUGACAAUAACCUGGGUUCUGCACCUUUGGUGGGUCACGCACACAUGCAGCCUACAUUGAAUGAAGGUCCCCCAGGAGUGGCCUUUUUUCCUUAUCAAGAGAUGGACUUAGCAUUUCCUCUUUUCCAAGGACCAUACACGCUGUGUCUCUCAGUUCUAGUAUCUUAGCUGAAAAGAGAAGCUUGUUAGACUUGGGGUGACCAUCCUA
ensembl:lncRNA